rnacentral:rRNA from 1 species
GAUGAACGCUGGCGGCGUGCUUAACACAUGCAAGUCGAACGGAAACAGGAUGAAGCCUAGCGAUUCCUGUUUUAGUGGCGGACGGGUGAGUAACGCGUGGGUAACCUGCCUUACACUGGGGGAUAACAGUUAGAAAUAGCUGCUAAUACCGCAUAAGCGCACAGGGCCGCAUGGCCUGGUGUGAAAAACUCCGGUGGUGUAAGAUGGACCCGCGUCUGAUUAGCUAGUUGGUGAGGUAACGGCCCACCAAGGCGACGAUCAGUAGCCGGCCUGCAGGGGUGAACGGCCACAUUGGGACUGAGACACGGCCCAAACUCCUACGGGAGGCAGCAGUGUGGAAUAAUGCACAAUGGGGUAAACCCUGAUGCAGCGACGCCGAGUGAGUGAAGAAGUAUUUCGGUAUGUAAAGCUCUAGCAGCAAGGAAGAAAAUGACGGUACUUGACUAAGAAGCCCCGGCUAACUACGUGCCAGCCGCCGCAGUAACAC